rnacentral:lncRNA from 1 species
AAAUAACUUAUUAUUUGUGUCUCCCCUCACCCCACCCCAUCCAAAUCCAUAUGUUGAAAUUCCAACCCCCUUAUGAAAGAGGCUCCUCAGAGCUCCCCAGCCUCUUUUGCCAUAUGAGGAUAUAAGAAGUUAACCGCUACCCAGAAGAAAGUCCUUACACAACCACCACGGUGCUGGCACCUGAUCUUGUACUUCAAGCCUCCUGAACCAUUAGAAAUAAAUGUCUGUUGCUGACAAGCCACCCGUCUGGGAUAUUUUAUUACAGAAUCUCAAACUGACAAAGACAUGCCCCUUUGCAAAACAAAAAACAAAAAACAAAAAAAAAAAAAUUGCCAAUCUUUGAGGUACAUAGUAACCACUUUGAUUUCUAGGAGUUGUCUCCUAGGUUCCAGAGCAAGCACAUGGACAAUUGUUAUUCUUGCCCUUUGUUUUCCUUUUCAGUUCCUUCAGACUGGCCUCCACCUGAGGAGGAACACUUGAACAAGAGGUGAUUAAUUUUCCAGAUUCCACUUGUCAUAUUUCUCCAAGCAAAAACUAUGCCUUAAGUUAACAAGCCCUAGUGAGUCUUUUCAAUAACCCAGUACCUAUGUACUUCUAAUGGAAUAUACUGAAUCUAAAAUGAAACCUGAAUGCUUCUAAACACAGCUGUCACAAGUACAAUUAAUUCAGUGAAGUCCCCCAUUUUUAGCCGGAGAAAAUGAGUUGCAGAAAGGCAAAUGUUGGUGGGUUAUUCACCUGAGGUCAUGAUCUCAGGUGUGUAAAAAUGAACUUUAUUUAGACAAAAAUUUCUCAUUUUAUGAUUCAAGAAUUCCCCAGUGAGAAAAAUUAAACUAACCCUUCCCAGGGUUUUCUCAGGCCAGUCCACAGAUUUUUAUUUACAUUACCUCAGGGUUAAAACUCAGGAUCAUUCAGAAAAUCCCACACAAUCAUCUUGAGGUUCUCUCAUUCUCCUUCAUUCAAUACUGAUAUCUUUUUUCCCUUCCUUUUCACAGUUGCACCUCUGGAAUAUGGAAGUUCACAGGCUAGGGGUCAAAUUGGAGCUGCAGCUGAGGUCUACGCCACAGCCAUAGCAAGCAUGACCCAACCCGAAUCUGUGACCCAUGCUACAGCUUGAGGUGACACUGGAUCCUUAAACCACUGAACGAGGCCAGGGAUAAAACCCACACCCUCAGAGACAACGUUGGGUCCUUAACCUGCUGAACCAUAAUGGGAAUUCGCAGUACUGAUCUUAAAUAUCCCAGGGCUAAGACAAUUGUUGUAAGAUGCCAGAUCUUAGACAUAUUCUAUCUUGGUACUUUGUUAAGAGUUUUUAAAUAUGCAAAAAUUUGAGUCCUGGGUGUGCUAGCCAGUGUAUGAUGACCUCCAUAGCUUAUGGUCAUUGGUUUCUAGCAGCUCUAUCCCUUGAGAUCGUCAAAGUUUGCCCUAGCUCUGAUCCUUACCCUUUCAGGUCACUCUCCAUUCUUCAUGUCCAUGACUCCAGAGUCAUUCAUAUUUUUCAGCCUAACCUCUGUCUUUUGGAAUCUCUCCUAAAGGUUUAACGGUUGUCCUUUAUCUUUUGGAGGUUCCCAGGAGAUGGGAAUUACUCUUUCCCUAACUUCCAUUUUCAAGUAUUUGAGACAAUUAAUGACCUGAGUUUAGAACAGAAUUGGUAGGUUGCCAAUCCUCUCCAUCCCAGAUCCCAGAUUAAAACACAUUGUGAGGUCGGUUCCCCCCCCUCCAUCCUCAGGAUUUGUUCCAGUGAGGGGAGACAGAGUAAAUGGCAUCUGCAAUGUCUCAUCUCCCUUCUCAUCCAAAUUUUCUUCUCUAUCUGCAGCUUACAGGAGGAUCUUUUAAAGAAUGGGGGGAGGAAGAAAACAUUUUUUCUGCUCCUUCCUCCCUUUGGAGGCUUAAGUAGUGGACUGUGUGUCUUCUAUCACUGGUG